GUGCAAUGAUGUAUUUUAUUCAACACAUCAUUCUGAAAGAAUAUGUGUGGAAAACUAAUGACUGAGCACA
ensembl:snoRNA SNORD63 Small nucleolar RNA SNORD63